UUUAAAUCUCAAACACGCCCACCUGGAAGCAAAUAGACCAAGUGCUUAACAGGAGAGUGUAAAACCUACAGCUGGUAAAUGUUUAUCUAAGUCAUCAAACCCAUUUGUAAGAAAGGAGGCAUAGUAGUCAAGUAGGAUUGGUAGUAUUAGCUGAAGUUGGGGCAGACUUUACAAGUAAACCAAGUGUAUUUGUACAGAGAUAUUUUUCAGAAGUGUUUGCAUUGCAAGUGACAUGUGGCUGACAGGAACUUGGAGAAAUGGGAUACGAAGUGAAUGCUGUAGUUACCACAGCAUCAUAUUUAUCAAAAGGCUUAAGUGACCGCUACAUCAGUAGAGUCUGUGUCGAUAUGGUACUGCCCAGAGUGCACCGGACUUCCAGAAAGCAUGAGCGACAAGGCAGUGGAACGCCAAUUCCUUCUCACUGCUACUGCCCUCAUUUUUAUUGUGGUUUAACCCAGGAAGAAGCCCAGCACCACAAAGAUGUUCGCUAACUCCCCACUCCACCCUCCCCAUCAAGUGGGAUGAGGGAGAGAAUUGAAAACAAUACAGAACUCACAGGCUCAGUUCUCAGCAACAACCAAAGCAUUGGUGUGCUAUUAACACUGUCUUGGCUGAAACCAGGACAAUUCUAAAGAUCUCUUCUGUCCUUCAUCACAGAUCCUAACCAUACAACUCUUCUUGUGAUCUGCCAUCAAAGUAGGCCAACCUUCUUGUGUAUUUGCUUCACAAGUCUCCAUCUCCUCUCAAAUCUAUCUUGAAAUGCAUUUUUCAGGCUCUUAUG
rnacentral:lncRNA from 1 species